UUCCCUUUAUCCCAGAUCUACUCUCAAAUCUUAAUGGAGUUACAGACUCUUACACCUUCUCAUUUGUUUUCCCUUCCGGUUGUAAUUGUUUCUCUCUCAAAUCUCGUAUUUUUUUAACUUUACUUUUCUCUUAACUUGGAGGUAUUAUCCGACCAUAUCAAUGGAAUUUGCAUCUUCUUCCAUCUGAUUUUAGGCAAGUCUUGCUCAAGCGAUUACUGCCAAUUUUGCCGAUGAACCCAAAACAGCUAGUGCUUCUCUUGCUAAGGCUGCCAAGCAUUUUGAUGCCUUGGUCAAUGCCCUGCCACUAGUUGAGGGAGGUGAAGAGGAUCAACUGAAAAGAAUCGUUGAUCUUCAGGUAUCGUAGUAGCUGAUUUUCUGUGAAAUGCUCAAGCAAUAUAGAGCCUGGUAAAGCGGUUUUUCUUGUGUAUUUACCCGGCAGAAAAUGAUGUUGUUGGACAAGAAUGGCAGAAGCAACUGGAA